rnacentral:rRNA from 1 species
UAGGGAAUCUUCGGCAAUGGGGGGAACCCUGACCGAGCAACGCCGCGUGAGUGAAGAAGGUUUUCGGAUCGUAAAGCUCUGUUGUUAAGGAAGAACGAGUGUGAGAAUGGAAAGUUCAUACUGUGACGGUACUUAACCAGAAAGGGACGGCUAACUACGUGCCAGCAGCCGCGGUAAUACGUAGGUCCCGAGCGUUGUCCGGAUUUAUUGGGCGUAAAGCGAGCGCAGGCGGUUAGAUAAGUCUGAAGUUAAAGGCAGUGGCUCAACCAUUGUAGGCUUUGGGAACUGUUUAACUUGAGUGCAGAAGGGGAGAGUGGAAUUCCAUGUGUAGCGGUGAAAUGCGUAGAUAUAUGGAGGAACACCGGUGGCGAAAGCGGCUCUCUGGUCUGUAACUGACGCUGAGGCUCGAAAGCGUGGGGAGCGAACAGG